UCCGAUUGAUCCCGUCGGACCCCACUGCUAUCGAGAUGGGACUAAAGUAUGCUAGUCGAACGACCAGAACUAUGUCUGGAAGUGGCACACUGCUCAGUAACACAUAGCUAACCUACCCUUAGGACGUGGAUACCCCCGAGAAAUUGGGGUUAAUCCGCGAUAGAUGUAAUGUCCUGGAAUGGUAUUACGUCUAAAGGUAUUUCAUACAUGUUUGAAAUAUGCCUAAGGAUGGGGCUGCGGCCGAUCAGGCUGUUGGUGAGGUAAUGGCUCACCAAACCUUUGACCGGUACGGGCCAUGAGAGUGGUAGCCCGGAGAUGGACACUGAGACAAGGGUCCAGGCCCUAAGGGGCGCAGCAACCGCGAAACCUCCACAAUGCACUCACGUGCGAUGGGGCUAUCUCGAGUGCCACCUGAUGAAGGUGGCUUUUCCUUGGUCUUCAAAGCCUUGGGAAUAAGAGGGGGGCAAGACUGGUGUCAGCCGCCGCGGUAACACCAGCCCCUCGAGUGGUGGGGAUGAUUAUUUGGCCUAAAGCGUCCGUAGCCGGCCGAGCAAGUCUUCCGUUAAAUCCAGCGUCUCAAGCGUUGGACCGCGGGAGAUACUACACGGCUAGAGAGUGGGAGAGGUCAGCGGUAUUCUGGGGGUAGGGGCGAAAUCCUUUGAUCCCCGGAGGACCACCAGUGGCGAAGGCUGCUGACUAGAACACGUCUGACGGUCAGGGACGAAAGCUGGGGUAGCGAACCGGAUUAGAUACCCGGGUAGUCCCAGCCGUAAACGAUGCAUGCUAGGUGUUGGGUUGGCCACGAGCCACCCCAGUGCCGCAGGGAAGCCGUUAAGCAUGCCGCCUGGGAAGUACGAUCGCAAGAUUGAAACUUAAAGGAAUUGGCGGGGGAGCACCACCAGGCGUGAAGCCUGCGGUUUAAUUGGAGUCAACGCCGGGAACCUUACCGGGAGCGACAGCAGAAUGAAGGCCAGAUUGAAGAUCUUGCCAGACGAGCUGAGAGGAGGUGCAUGGCCGUCGCCAGUUCGUGCCGUGAGGUGUUCUCUUAAGUGAGAUAACGAACGAGACCCGUGCCACAUGUUGCCACCAGUAUCUAAAGGAUAGCUGAGCACUCUUGUGGGACCGCAGCCGAUAAGGCUGAGGAAGGUACGGGCAACGGCAGGUCAGUAUGCCCCGAAUCUCCCGGGCCACACGCGGGCUGCAAUGGUACAGACAUAGGGCUGCCACCCCGAAAGGGGGAGCCAAUCCCUAAACUGUACCUCAGUUGGGAUCGAGGGUUGCAACCCACCCUCGUGAACAUGGAAUGCCUAGUAACCGCCAGUCAUCAUCUGGCGUGAAUACGUCCCUGCUCCUUGCACACACUGCCCGUCGAACCACCCGAAUGAGGUUUGGGUGAGGAAUGGUCGAAUGUUGGCCGUUUCGAACCUGGGCCUCGUAAGGAGGGUUAAGUCGUAACAAGGUG
rnacentral:rRNA from 1 species